GACAGAGGUGCCGAGCGUUAUUCGGAAUCACUGGGCUUAAAGCGCGUGUAGGCGGACGGGCACGUCGGUCGCUGAAAUCCCCCGGCUCAACCGGGGAACGGGCGCCGAAACGACCCGUCUCGAGGGACGUAGGGGGACCUGGAACUUCCGGUGGAGCGGUGAAAUGCGUUGAGAUCGGAAGGAACGCCCGUGGCGAAAGCGAGGUCCUGGACGUCUACUGACGCUGAGACGCGAAAGCUAGGGGAGCGGACGGG
rnacentral:rRNA from 1 species